AGAGUUUGAUCCUGGCUCAGGAUGAACGCUGGCGGCGUGCCUAAUACAUGCAAGUCGAGCGAACAGACAAGGAGCUUGCUCCUUUGACGUUAGCGGCGGACGGGUGAGUAACACGUGGGUAACCUACCUAUAAGACUGGGAUAACUUCGGGAAACCGGAGCUAAUACCGGAUAAUAUUUCGAACCGCAUGGUUCGAUAGUGAAAGAUGGUUUUGCUAUCACUUAUAGAUGGACCCGCGCCGUAUUAGCUAGUUGGUAAGGUAACGGCUUACCAAGGCGACGAUACGUAGCCGACCUGAGAGGGUGAUCGGCCACACUGGAACUGAGACACGGUCCAGACUCCUACGGGAGGCAGCAGUAGGGAAUCUUCCGCAAUGGGCGAAAGCCUGACGGAGCAACGCCGCGUGAGUGAUGAAGGUCUUCGGAUCGUAAAACUCUGUUAUUAGGGAAGAACAUACGUGUAAGUAACUAUGCACGUCUUGACGGUACCUAAUCAGAAAGCCACGGCUAACUACGUGCCAGCAGCCGCGGUAAUACGUAGGUGGCAAGCGUUAUCCGGAAUUAUUGGGCGUAAAGCGCGCGUAGGCGGUUUUUUAAGUCUGAUGUGAAAGCCCACGGCUCAACCGUGGAGGGUCAUUGGAAACUGGAAAACUUGAGUGCAGAAGAGGAAAGUGGAAUUCCAUGUGUAGCGGUGAAAUGCGCAGAGAUAUGGAGGAACACCAGUGGCGAAGGCGACUUUCUGGUCUGUAACUGACGCUGAUGUGCGAAAGCGUGGGGAUCAAACAGGAUUAGAUACCCUGGUAGUCCACGCCGUAAACGAUGAGUGCUAAGUGUUAGGGGGUUUCCGCCCCUUAGUGCUGCAGCUAACGCAUUAAGCACUCCGCCUGGGGAGUACGACCGCAAGGUUGAAACUCAAAGGAAUUGACGGGGACCCGCACAAGCGGUGGAGCAUGUGGUUUAAUUCGAAGCAACGCGAAGAACCUUACCAAAUCUUGACAUCCUUUGACAACUCUAGAGAUAGAGCUUUCCCCUUCGGGGGACAAAGUGACAGGUGGUGCAUGGUUGUCGUCAGCUCGUGUCGUGAGAUGUUGGGUUAAGUCCCGCAACGAGCGCAACCCUUAAGCUUAGUUGCCAUCAUUAAGUUGGGCACUCUAAGUUGACUGCCGGUGACAAACCGGAGGAAGGUGGGGAUGACGUCAAAUCAUCAUGCCCCUUAUGAUUUGGGCUACACACGUGCUACAAUGGACAAUACAAAGGGCAGCGAAACCGCGAGGUCAAGCAAAUCCCAUAAAGUUGUUCUCAGUUCGGAUUGUAGUCUGCAACUCGACUACAUGAAGCUGGAAUCGCUAGUAAUCGUAGAUCAGCAUGCUACGGUGAAUACGUUCCCGGGUCUUGUACACACCGCCCGUCACACCACGAGAGUUUGUAACACCCGAAGCCGGUGGAGUAACCAUUUGGAGCUAGCCGUCGAAGGUGGGACAAAUGAUUGGGGUGAAGUCGUAACAAGGUAGCCGUAUCGGAAGGUGCGGCUGGAUCACCU
rnacentral:rRNA from 1 species